GGCGGCGGCCUACACAUGCAAGUCGAACGGUAACAGGAAGCAGCUUGCUGCUUCGCUGACGAGUGGCGGACGGGUGAGUAAUGUCUGGGAAACUGCCUGAUGGAGGGGGAUAACUACUGGAAACGGUAGCUAAUACCGCAUAACGUCGCAAGACCAAAGAGGGGGACCUUCGGGCCUCUUGCCAUCGGAUGUGCCCAGAUGGGAUUAGCUAGUAGGUGGGGUAACGGCUCACCUAGGCGACGAUCCCUAGCUGGUCUGAGAGGAUGACCAGCCACACUGGAACUGAGACACGGUCCAGACUCCUACGGGAGGCAGCAGUGGGGAAUAUUGCACAAUGGGCGCAAGCCUGAUGCAGCCAUGCCGCGUGUAUGAAGAAGGCCUUCGGGUUGUAAAGUACUUUCAGCGGGGAGGAAGGCGAUAAGGUUAAUAACCUUGUCGAUUGACGUUACCCGCAGAAGAAGCACCGGCUAACUCCGUGCCAGCAGCCGCGGUAAUACGGAGGGUGCAAGCGUUAAUCGGAAUUACUGGGCGUAAAGCGCACGCAGGCGGUCUGUCAAGUCGGAUGUGAAAUCCCCGGGCUCAACCUGGGAACUGCAUUCGAAACUGGCAGGCUAGAGUCUUGUAGAGGGGGGGUAGAAUUCCAGGUGUAGCGGUGAAAUGCGUAGAGAUCUGGAGGAAUAC
rnacentral:rRNA from 1 species